rnacentral:rRNA from 1 species
CGUCUAUAUACGUAUAGCAUAUCAAUAAGCGGAGGAAAAGAAACUAACAAGGAUUCCCUAGUAACGGCGAGUGAAGCGGGAAGAGCUCAAAUUUGAAAUCUUAAAGGUUUCCCUUGACGAAUUGUAGUUUAUAGAAGUGUCUUCUGUUAGUAGAGUGGUAAAAGUUCUUUGGAAUAGGACAUCAUAGAGGGUGAGAAUCCCGUAUUUGAUCAUUUCUUCCAGCUGUGUGAUACACUUUCAAAGAGUCGGAUUGUUUGGGAAUGCAGUCCAAAAUGGGUGGUAAAUUUCAUCUAAAGCUAAAUAUUGGCGAGAGACCGAUAGCGAACAAGUACCGUGAGGGAAAGAUGAGAAGAACUUUGAAAAGAGAGUUAAACAGUACGUGAAAUUGUCAAAAGGGAAGCGUUUGACACCAGUGUUGUUUUCUCGAAAAUCAAUUAAAAAUGACCGGAUUUUGUGUUGUAUUGACUUUAUCAGCUUUCUGCACUUUUUUCUUGUCUUUUUUGAUGCACUUUUCGUUUAACAAGUCAACAUCAAUUUCUUUUGUUGUAAAAGAGUCAUUGGAAGGUGGCUUUCACUUUCGGUGAAAGUGUUUAUAGCCUUUGACUUCUGCAAUCGGAGAGAUUGAGGUCUGCAGCGUAGAUCCUUCGGGGUUAGAUAGCAUUUGUGCUAAGUUAUAGCUUUUCAUAGACAACAUGUUGACUAUGAUUAAGUCAUGUAGCUUACUCGCUUAUGCUAUUUUACCUACGCUUAGGAUGUUGAUAUGCAUGACUGAUAU